rnacentral:rRNA from 1 species
CUACGGGUGGCUCCAGUGGGGAAUAUUGCACAAUGGAGGAAACUCUGAUGCAGCAACGCCGCGUGGAGGAUGACACUUUUCGGAGCGUAAACUCCUUUUAUAUAGGAAGAAGAUGACGGUACUAUAUGAAUAAGCGCCGGCUAACUCCGUGCCAGCAGCCGCGGUAAUACUGAGGGCGCAAGCGUUACUCGGAAUCACUGGGCGUAAAGAGCGUGUAGGCGGAUUAAAAAGUCAGAAGUGAAAUCCUAUAGCUUAACUAUAGAACUGCUUCUGAAACUCUUAAUCUAGAAUAUGGGAGAGGUAGAUGGAAUUUCUGGUGUAGGGGUAAAAUCCGUAGAGAUCAGAAGGAAUACCGAUUGCGAAGGCGAUCUACCAGAACAUUAUUGACGCUGAGACGCGAAAGCGUGGGGAGCAAACAGGAUUAGAUACCCCCGUAGUC